rnacentral:rRNA from 1 species
AACGAACGCUGGCGGCAUGCCUAACACAUGCAAGUCGAACGAGACCUUCGGGUCUAGUGGCGCACGGGUGCGUAACGCGUGGGAACCUGCCCUUAGGUUCGGAAUACCUCCCCGAAAGGGGUGCUAAUACCGGAUAAUGUCUUCGGACCAAAGAUUUAUCGCCUUUGGAUGGGCCCGCGUUGGAUUAGCUAGUUGGUAGGGUAAAAGCCUACCAAGGCGACGAUCCAUAGCUGGUCUGAGAGGAUGAUCAGCCACACUGGGACUGAGACACGGCCCAGACUCCUACGGGAGGCAGCAGUGGGGAAUAGUGGACAAUGGGCGAAAGGCUGAUGCAGCAAUGCCGGGUGAGUGAUGAAGGCCUGAGGGUUGUAAAGCUCUUUUAACCGGGAUGAUAAUGACAGUACCGGGAGAAUAAGCGCCGGCUAACUCCGUG